UACGGGGGGGGUAAGCGUUGUUCGGAAUUACUGGGCGUAAAGGGCUCGUAGGCGGCCAACUAAGUCAGACGUGAAAUCCCUCAGCUUAACUGGGGAACUGCGUCUGAUACUGGAUGGCUUGGAUUCGGGAGAGGGAAUGCGGAAUUCCGAGGUUGUGAGCGGUGAAAUGCGUAGAUAUCUGGAGGAACACCGGUGGCGAAGGCGGCAUUCUGGACCGACAUUGACGCUGAGGAGCGAAAGCCAGGGGAGCAAACGGG
rnacentral:rRNA from 1 species